rnacentral:rRNA from 1 species
CAGGCCUAACACAUGCAAGUCGAACGGUCAGUAGCAAUACUGAUAGUGGCGCACGGGUGCGUAACACGUAACUAAUCUACCUACAACUGGGGGAUAGCCCGCCGAAAGGCGGAUUAAUACCGCAUAACAUAAGGUGGCGGCAUCGUCUCUUUAUUAAAGAUUUAUUGGUUGUAGAUGAGGUUGCGGGUCAUUAGCUAGUUGGUAAGGUAACGGCUUACCAAGGCGACGAUGACUAGGGGAGCUGAGAGGCUGGUCCCCCACACGGGCACUGAGAUACGGGCCCGACUCCUACGGGAGGCAGCAGUAGGGAAUAUUGGGCAAUGGGCGAGAGCCUGACCCAGCCAUGCCGCGUGCAGGACGAAGGCUUUCUGAGUCGUAAACUGCUUUUGACAGGGAAGAAUAAGCUGCUCGUGAGCAGUGAUGACGGUACCUGCAGAAUAAGCACCGGCUAACUCCGUGCCAGCAGCCGCGGUAAU